GAUGAACGCUGGCGGCGUGCCUAAUACAUGCAAGUCGAACGAAACUUCUUUAUCACCGAGUGCUUGCACUCACCGAUAAAGAGUUGAGUGGCGAACGGGUGAGUAACACGUGGGCAACCUGCCCAAAAGAGGGGGAUAACACUUGGAAACAGAUGCUAAUACCGCAUAACCAUAGUUACCGCAUGGUAACUAUGUAAAAGGUGGCUAUACUACCGCUUUUGGAUGGGCCCGCGGCGCAUUAGCUAGUUGGUAGGGUAAAGGCUUACCAAGGCAAUGAUGCGUAGCCGAAUUGAGAGGUUGAUCGGCCACAUUGGGACUGAGACACGGCCCAAACUCCUACGGGAGGCAGCAGUAGGGAAUCUUCCACAAUGGGCGAAAGCCUGAUGGAGCAACGCCGCGUGGGUGAAGAAGGUCUUCGGAUCGUAAAACCCUGUUGUUAGAGAAGAAAGUGCGUGAGAGUAACUGUUCACGUUUCGACGGUAUCUAACCGGAAAGCCACGGCUAACUACGUG
rnacentral:rRNA from 1 species